GUCUCACAUGACAGAGAGCAGAUGUGUAAACCCCAUCCUUUAGCAGAUCAAGCCCGGGGAAGGUGUCAGCCUCCCCACCUCCGAAGCUCUGGGGCUGUGGGAGACUGUCAGGCACAGCCUCAGAGGGAAUAAGGCCCUGGGUGUCUCAUGAAAACCUUGCCAGCUCUCGGUUAAGGAGAGGACUCAGGGGCAGUCUGGCUCCCCAGCCACCGCAGGAGAUGGCCUCUCCUUGGAAGACAUUUUAAGCGGCUGAAUUUUCACCACAGAACAUGCUGAUAAAGGGAUUGGAGUGGCUUACUAAAUUCAUGCUUCCUUACACCCAAGUGUGUUCUCUGCACUCUGUUCCCAGGGCAUUUUUAAGCAUUUUUUUUCUCGUUCUCUUUGAAAAAGGGUGAAUGGUGUGUGCUAACUGCAAGGAAGGUACCAGAGCCUCAGCAAAGCGCGUGCAGAGGGCACAUAAAAUACCUGAUAGGAGCAAAUGUGUAAGAGCAGAUGCUAAACAAUGACAAAUGGGACGUGGACAAGCAGAAAAACUUGGAGAGAUUAUGAAUGUGGAUAGGGCAGAAAGAACUUUAAAAGUUCUUCCCAGUAGGGUGGUCAGGCCCUGGAAGAGAUGGGCAGGGUUGCUGUGGCGUUUCCCGGAGAUACGACCUCGAGCGACCCGAUCUACUUGUGAAGCUCCACUUGGAGGAGGACACUGCACUGAGUGACCUCCGGAGACCCCUUCCAAACUCAUAUCUUCAACAGUUGUCUGGUUCAGAAAAAAAAAAAGAAAAAAGGAAAAAAAAAAUAUCAAGGAGAAACAAGCAAAUCAGAAGGAGAUCCCUCUGAUGCUGUAACCGGACUCCCCACAAACCAAUUUUGAGCGGGGACAUGGAAAAGGAGGCAUGGGCUAGGAUUUGGAAAGCAUUUGACAACAUGGAAAAACAGAACACAGGGGAAAUAAAGGCAUAGGGAAUGCAAAUGACCAGUUAAUCAGCUGAGGAACUAGUAAAUUAACCCAGUAUCCUGGAUUACAAACAAGACGUCAAGCAGUGGAUCACACUCUCAAAGAUCAGGGAGGCUUCAAUUUCUGUAGCACACCGAGUGUGAAACACUUAAAAAAACUUAAGAAGUUCUUAAGAAGAAGUGCCAGAGUUAUUAAUACUAAUGUUGGAUAGGCCGAAAGCAGAAAUGCAAUCUCCAUAAAUGCUAAGUUAGAAAGAGGUGAGGAUGAAUAUCAGACCUCUGGAAGACAUCUGGAAGCAAGCUGUGAGUUGUAGUCAAAGCUAAAUAAAGUAACUGAGAAAAAAGUGGUGGAAUGGUUUAUUUCUGAAUGUUUGGUUUCUGGGAUAGAUUGUCACAUGAACAGACAUUUUAAGGAUGUCCUCUGUGCUCAGGACAGGUUAUUUUUCACAUUUACGUGGGCAUGAUAAGGAGUCCCAGAAGGCCAAUUUUAAAUGAGAGCUGCUCUGAAAGUAAUGCUUCCUAUUUUAU
ensembl:lncRNA